AAACCAUGAUGGGGACAUAGUUUGAGCAUCCUUUUAAACCUAUCACAUGCUUCAUACAAAGAUUCACUCUCAUUUGAUCAGAAGCUAUCAAUUAAAUUCCUCAUGUGC